UCAGCCGUGCCGGCGCGAAAUCAGCUUGACCGGUAGUAGGUUAAGCAAACAGGCUGUGGCGAGCCUCAAAACCGCCACAACUUGUGCACUCCCUACCGGCCUCGUGCACUUUCGUGUCGGCUGGUUAACAUCAAUUUUGAUCGUCAUAAAAAGGCUGGAGGGAUGUGGCUCCUUCGGGAGUGUUAUAACCUUUGGCGGAAUGUGGUGGUCGGGAUUGAGGCUUGCAACGAAUACCUUCAGGGCUGUCCCACCUGGCCUCUCGUCGGCAUCCUGGCGACGACAGCUUGCUUGACGUUGUUAGGAUCAGCUUUCGAACAGGCUAGAGUGUGGGCAAA
rnacentral:rRNA from 1 species